rnacentral:sRNA from 1 species
GCCAGGUGCGGUGGCUCACACCUGUAAUCCCAGCACUUUGGGAGGCUGAGGCGGGUGGAUCACCUGAGGUCAGGAGUUCAAGACCAGCCUGACCAACAUGGUGAAACCCUGUCUCUA